rnacentral:rRNA from 1 species
UACGAAGGGGGCUAGCGUUGUUCGGAAUCACUGGGCGUAAAGCGCACGUAGGCGGAUUGUUAAGUCAGGGGUGAAAUGCCAAGGCUCAACCUUGGAACUGCCUUUGAUACUGGCAAUCUCGAGUCCGGGAGAGGUGAGUGGAACUGCGAGUGUAGAGGUGAAAUUCGUAGAUAUUCGCAAGAACACCAGUGGCGAAGGCGGCUCACUGGCCCAGUACUGACGCUGAGGUGCGAAGGCGUGGGGAGCGAACGGG